UAAAACUAUUUAUGAAUAGUUUACUUGCUACUGCAUUGGAGUCAGGGAAUAUUCUAAAUUGUCUCUUCUAUUUUGCAUGAAAUAUUAUUCUUUCCUGUGCUAAUCAUCCUUAUACUAGGUUGCUGAAGAUCUUCUGCACUCACUGCUUAUUGGACUCAUGGUUGGAUUUGUCUGUGUAGCUUCAGAAGAUUUUGGAUGCCUUACUCACAUGGCUGAUGGAAGAAUAACCAGAUUCAGGCAGGAGUCCAGAUCACCAGAGAAGUAUGAAGUGAUGAGGCAGGUUGGAAGUCAAGCUGGGAAGACAAGUUACCAGAUCAGGACAAGGAAGUUAAAAAUUAAGUACAUCUCAAGUAAUGAGAUUGAUGAGAUUGGACAGACUGGAUCCUAUCCGCAGAGCUUAAGAAAGAAUAAUGAAAUGCAAUAAUAAAGUUCUGGAGCUAAUGAUUUAAAUGGUUAAAUGUAUUUUAUUUCUAUUUUCCUUGGGGGAUGAGUGGCUGGAAAGCAUUCCUUUGGAGGGGAAUUUGGGGGUGCUGGUUGACAGUAUGCUCAGUAUAAGUCAGCAAUGCCUCAGUAGUGCCCUGGCAGCCAUGAGAAGAAACAGCAUUUUGAGGUGCACUAAAUACAGCACAGCCAGCUGGUCAAAGAUGCAGCCUCACUUUGAAUAUCGCUUGCAGCUCUGGGCUCCAUGAUAUAAAAGGGGUGUUAAGUUAUUUGAAUGCAUCCAGAGGGCAGCAAAGCUAGUAAAAGAACUGGAAGGCAUGUCUUACGAGGAAAGGCUGAAGACAUUUGCACUGUGUAGUCUGGAGAAGAGAAGGUUAUCAGGAGCCUUCAUUGCUCUCUACAAUUUCCCGAGGAAAGGAAAUGAUCAGGGAGACUUCAGUCUCUUCUCCCUGGUAACCAACAAUAGAACAUGGAGGAAUGGCACAAAGCUGUGCUAGGGGAGGUUCAGAAUGGAUAUUUUGAAAAAAAUCUUUACUGAAAAGGUGGUCAAAAAUUCUAGCAAGGUGGUUGAUGCCCUACGAAUGUCGUUGUUCAAGAGGCACUUGGAUAAUGUCAUCAUCAAAAUGCUUUAACUUUAGGUUAGCACUGUAGUGGUCACGAGUUGGUAUCUUUGAAAGUCCCUUUCAACUAUUCUAAUUCUAAUUCUAAUUCUAAUUCUAGUUAUCUGUUGAUGUGAAGAGAUCCAUUUCUAUGCAUUUUAGCAAUGGUAAUUUUGUGCUGAUGCAUAACAACCAGUUAGGCAUGAAUAAUUGAAUAUGGUUCUUUCAAUAGAAAAAGAGUUGUACAUUUAAUUAUUUAACUAAAUUGACAUUUAUUUUGUAAAAUAAGCACAAUAACUCGUAAAGAAGUUGUAGCUAGCAAAAAC
rnacentral:lncRNA from 1 species